UGGGGAAUUUUGGACAAUGGGCGCAGGCCUGAUCCAGCAAUGCCGCGUGUGUGAAGAAGGCCUUCGGGUUGUAAAGCACUUUUGUCCGGAAAGAAAUCCGUCUGGCUAAUACCCGGACGGGAUGACGGUACCGGAAGAAUAAGCACCGGCUAACUACGUGCCAGCAGCCGCGGUAAUACGAAGGGUGCGAGCGUUAAUCGGAAUUACUGGGCGUAAAGCGUGCGCAGGCGGCUUUGUAAGACAGAUGUGAAAUCCCCGGGCUCAACCUGGGAACUGCAUUUGUGACUGCAAGGCUAGAGUGCGUCAGAGGGAGGUGGAAUUCCGCGUGUAGCAGUGAAAUGCGUAGAGAUGCGGAGGAACACCGAUGGCGAAGGCAGCCUCCUGGGAUGACACUGACGCUCAUGCACGAAAGCGUGGGGAGCAAACA
rnacentral:rRNA from 1 species